GUAGGGAAUCUUCGGCAAUGGGGGCAACCCUGACCGAGCAACGCCGCGUGAGUGAAGAAGGUUUUCGGAUCGUAAAGCUCUGUUGUAAGAGAAGAACGGGUAUGAGAGUGGAAAGCUCAUACUGUGACGGUAACUUACCAGAAAGGGACGGCUAACUACGUGCCAGCAGCCGCGGUAAUACGUAGGUCCCGAGCGUUAUCCGGAUUUAUUGGGCGUAAAGCGAGCGCAGGCGGUUAGAUAAGUCUGAAGUUAAAGGCUGUGGCUUAACCAUAGUAUGCUUUGGAAACUGUUUGACUUGAGUACAGAAGGGGAGAGUGGAAUUCCAUGUGUAGCGGUGGAAUGCGUAGAUAUAUGGAGGAACACCGGUGGCGAAAGCGGCUCUCUGGUCUGUAACUGACGCUGAGGCUCGAAAGCGUGGGUAGCGAACAGG
rnacentral:rRNA from 1 species